AGUUAUUGGCAGAGCUGAAUGAACUCUAUCCCAAUUGGAAUUUCUACUUCACAAACAUGACGGCAACUUGACCAUGGAGAUGUACGAAACCAGUCUUGGCUGCAAGACCGGCACAAACAACCCCCUCAUCAACUUCAUGGUGAGCAGAUUCCUUCAUUCGAGUGCUGGGAUCGAUGGGGUGCUACCUUGUCGAUGGAAUGAUGAACGCCAGAGGAAAGGUUGUGUCCGAAUAUCUACCGGUGAACAGGGAUAGAUUCUGAUCCUUGCCAAGGGUGACGCACCUGGUCCCUGCUCAACCAUCCAUUCACCCACUGCUUCGGGAGAUAGAUGGAUGGACCCUGAAAUAGACACUGUAACAGCGCCCUCAAGGAAAAGAUGGCACAACGUAGUACCGGGUGAGUGCAACACAUCACUGGAUCUGAAUCAGGGUGCUAGUGGCCAUGAGCUCACUGCGUUUCGGUUUGUUCCCCACUUGAGGUGGGAUGGUGAGGCUCCUUUCGGGUCCAAGUCGGCAAUGGGUCGAUCGGUCGACUGUGUGCGAGGUGCAAGCGCGUCAUUGGCGCCUCGGUGGAUCCAUUGGCCUGGUGAUUCAGCUUGGAUGAGGGGCAAUGCAGCAGUGGGUUCAGUCAGCAAAUGGUUUCUGUUUGUGGGUGAAACUGUGUGAAAUGGAUUGGCAUGAAAUGAAAUUCAGAAAGCAGUAGAAGUGCACUGCAUUUUUCUCUUUCUGAAGAAAGUGUGUGCACUGCUGCAUGGUUAAUUAUUGGGAUGGCCUCAAUGGCAAUGUUAGGUAUCAGAUAGUGGUAUAUUCUCAUGAGAGUACCAGAUGGAUGCCAUCCUUAUCUGACAGGUGGAGAUUCUACAUAGCAGCCUAUCAGUGCAUGGAAAAACUGGUAUGUUGAUGGAACUCAAGGUUGCUCUGAAGAAACUAAAGCAAACAACAGAGAUCAAGAGAGUGCAAUCUUCUCCUUUUCUUUUGCUGAGUGGAAUGCAUCUUUUCAUCUGGACUGUAGGCUACAAUCAACUCAAUUUUGUUUUCUCCAAAUGAAAAGAUGGAAAAGAAAGGGUCUACCGCUACAAAGCAGGUGAUCCUUUUUUUCCUCCUUGGAAAACAAAUACCCAAAUGCUGCCAAAAUAUGAGAUAUGGAUAUGUGAUAUGUCACUCAUGGUGAUAAGAGGUUGCAUUACAUGCUGGUGACAAAGCAUGCAGACCACCAACAGUUUCAGUCGCCUAGGACAAGACCCCAAGGUCAGCUCGCUGCAACUGGCCAAAGCAUUUCCGGCAAAAUUUUGGCCUCUAUCUCGAGGCCAUAAACUGACUGAACAACUUCGCUGGACAGAUACGUCGCAAAUCCGGUCGAGUCGGUCGGCGUCGCAUUCACGAUUAAUUUUCCACAAAAAUAGAAAUAAAAAGGGAAAAAUUGCAGAAAAGGAGAACAGGAAAAAGAUGAGCCGUUUCUCUUUACAGCUGAAAACCGCUAUAUCGGGCGCCUUUUGCCGUGUAUCAUCAGAUCAGCCGGAAUUGUGAGGAGCAGAGGCGAGCGGCACUUGGGUUGGGAGACGUCAGCCUCCACCCAACCAACACCUGCACCGGCUAGGCUCAUCCUGCCCACUGGUUUAAGGUAGCUAUUUAAGUGCAGUCCCUGUCUGAAGCUCACCACAGCAGCUGCAAGUUUCUCGGCAGUGCAGAUCAGAAUCAGCAGAUUAUUUUGUUUGAACAAACAAUCAAAAGUAAGUUUGGAAAUUCAGAGAUCUAUGUGACAGAGACCUGCUUCUGUCCACUGAUUGCAACCACUUAUUGGUAACCUCUUAGCACACCUACCUGUGCACAGCCCACUUAAUGGGCUUUGGGUGUGUACACAUUUAUGCAUCACCAUCUACUAUUAUUUUCUGAAAAAUAAAAUCAUGAUCUACUCUUGAAAGUGGCAAUUCACUCCGCCUAUAUCAUAUAUAUUUGCAGUGGUUUUAA